CUAUUAUAUAUAUAUAUAACCUAUUUUAUCAUUCUACUUAGAAAAGUCUUAACUUAACCGAGUUAUGCACUGUUGCUUUACACUACUUAGAUUGUAUUAAAACCGAAGACCGCGUAUUUUAUAAUAUGGGUAAUAAAUGUGUGAAACUUCGAUAAGUGCAAAAGUAUAUAUAUAGUAACAGCCCGCAUAUGUCUAAACACCGUUUUCUUCAUGAAAAAAAUAUAUAUAGGUAAGUAUCAUCUCCAGUAUAUUAUAUGAUAUAUAUGUUACAUGUAUAUUAUAUGAGAAAAAAAAUGUGAAAAGAUAUAAAUUACAAAAAGUAAAAAUCACCGUCAACACGACAACACGCAGUGCAGCAGCAGUGCAAUAUUAUAAGAUCGUUGAAAUCUCAGUGCGGCUGCAAUUGGACUUCCCCGCAACGGCGUUAAAGGCUCGCGGUCGAAAUAGAAGAGGAAAAGGGGGAUAAGGAGUAAAUGAAGAGCUAUUGGGGAAGAAGUUUUCUCGCGGUGGAGAGGACAUUUUGUAAAUACCUCGAGCGGAGCCGAAAUAAAAAAAAAGGGGAGCCGUUUAAGAGCGCGCGCGCCGAGAUUAUAAGCGGCAACACAGAGGUUGAUAGUGGACACUGCAGGACAAGACAGUAUUUCGAGAGGCUCUAGACUAGUCUAGACAUCGCCAGUUCACGAAACAGAGGUUAAAAUUGGAAACAAACAUUCAAAAUGGUUUCGACUGGAAUUUUAUUACUCUCAAUGAAGAUGCAUUCAUUUUUGAAAGUCGCUAAAAACACAAUACAAUAUUGUCCGGAAAAAUAACAUAACUGAAUCAAAACAAUUUAUUCCGAUAUGUUUAGUUCGGUUAAAAUGGGAAAAUGUUUUAAUUAAAACACAGCUCAACGAGUAAAAGUUUGUUUCUCGUGGAAAUUUGCUAUAUAUAAUAAGUAUAUAUAAAAUAAGUACUAUGUAUUUUUGUUUGGAAAUAUAUUUUACUUUUUCGUUCAA